AAAAUCUCAAAAUUCAGACUCGUGAGUCCAAAUUUUCAAAGCUCACCACAGCAGUAAUGGUGAAAGCUGUGAUCGGAGAAGAAACCCAGCUCAAAUUAGCCGAGGCUCGCCUCGAGCAAUCCUCUACCGCCGCCCAGGUGGGGCUCGUCAUAGGCAAGCUCAGCCCCACUCUAGACCGAGGCUCGUCUUUGAUCUUGUCCCGACUCCGCCCAACGACGACGGAGCGCUGGCUUGCUCCCUCGCCGAGCCGGACAAGAGAAAGGGGCCCAAGGCCAAAGCUCAGUCCUCCUCUGAUUCCCAGUCGGUUUCUAUCGACAAGGAUCGGGUCGCCGAGCAUGCUCGUCAGGUGUCGAAAAUGUUGGUGGGAGGGAUGAAGGUGGUUGGGAUUUACGUUUGGAUUAGCGAAAAUGCCUUCAAGAAUUCCAACAUUGUGCUUUGUCAGACUGUAAUGGGAGUUGCCAGAGCAGCACCACUCUCUGAGAAUGAUUGGGAUGAGAGACUUCUUAUUCACAUUUGUUAUAGUCCAAGGAGGUGGACAUGUCGGAAUUGUAUGGUGACUUCAAAUAUUACAUCAAGCAACCUAAGACCUUGUGACUUCAAAUUGGGAAAGGUUCUAACUUCCCUUCAAGGAUUUAGGUGCAUGUACAACUUUGAUAUUAGGUUACCAAUAUCUUAGAAGAACUCAUCAAAUGUUCAGACUAUGAGUGAAGCCCUUUGUCAUGAAAUUUAAGUUCAUGCUAAAUAUUUAAAAAGUGCAAAAGCUAUGGUGGAUGGAAAUUUGGUUGUACACAAUGAUCUAAGCACGUCAGAUGUUUUGCAUGAAGUAUAAUUGCUGUUACCAUUUUUUGAAGGCACAUAAGUUGCACCCGGAAUUUAUGAUGGGUUGCCUACGUAUCCUGGAAGGGAUCAAGCCACUCGUAGUUCAAGAGUUCCAAUGAGUGAAUGACUCAAUGGAGGGCUUUGAUUUUGGAAUUUUGAAUAGUGUUUAUGAUGCGGUUGCAGAUUAUUUGACUCUAGAUUGCCUACAUACCCUUG